UCAAGAAUCACUCUAUUCAUAGGUGAAAACCACAUGAAAAUCCGUACAGUAGUUUUUGAUUUUGGAGUAGUUUUAUAAGAUGCAGUGAAUUGACGUUUUCCCCUAGAUUUGCGGAUGCUAGGUUGCGUGACAGUCGUGCAUGUGGCGAAUAC